rnacentral:rRNA from 1 species
AUUGAACGCUGGCGGCAUGCUUUACACAUGCAAGUCGAACGGUAACAGGUUAAGCUGACGAGUGGCGAACGGGUGAGUAAUGCAUCGGAACGUGCCCGGUCGUGGGGGAUAACGCAGCGAAAGCUGCGCUAAUACCGCAUACGAUCUGAGGAUGAAAGCGGGGGACCGUAAGGCCUCGCGCGAUCGGAGCGGCCGAUGUCAGAUUAGGUAGUUGGUGGGGUAAAGGCUCACCAAGCCGACGAUCUGUAGCUGGUCUGAGAGGACGACCAGCCACACUGGGACUGAGACACGGCCAGACUCCUACGGGAGGCAGCAGUGGGGAAUUUUGGACAAUGGGCGAAAGCCUGAUCCAGCAAUGCCGCGUGCAGGAGGAAGGCCUUCGGGUUGUAAACUGCUUUUGUACGGAGCGAAAAGGUUCUCUCUAAUACAGAGGGCUCAUGACGGUACCGUAAGAAUAAGCACCGGCUAACUACGUGCCAGCCGCCGCGGUAA